GCAGAUGCCAAGCAGACAGGCACCUCGGGCCAGGGGGCCGCCCUUCGCCCUCCUCCCCACCGCCGCCACCCCAGAAGCUUGAAGCUGCUUGGCUCCCCCUCCAGAAGAGAGAGGAGCACGGACGCGGACGGAAAAGCCCACGCCCCAGCUCUGGAAGCCGAGCUCCUCCUUGGGGCCGGGCUCUGCCUGCCAGCCCUUCCACGGCCCGUGCCCCGCCUCUGCGGCCCUCCCUCGCCAAGGGGUCGUCUCCUCUGCGCAGCGGCUGCCCACGGGCGCCACGGCCUCCCGGGACGGGGCCCUUCCCGGGCUCCCGCAGGGCCACGGGGACAGCGUGCUCUGAGAGGAACGCGGGCACCUGCCAAGCUCGGCCAGGCCCAGCGCACCGCUCUGGGGCUCGGCGCUCGCAGGGGAGUCCGCUUCCCAAGUCCCCCGGCAGAGGCGCGCGGGCUGCGCCCGACGCCAACACGAGGGGAGCCUUCCGAACCACACGGCCAACACAAGCGUGCUGCGUGCGUUGCGAUCUCAGCGGGAAAACCCCGGGACGGCUGGGCUGAGGAGGGCACGCCCCGCGCCCGGCUCCAACGCCGCCCCGGGACACCACGGGACCGCCUCCCCGGCAACCCGGGGGAAGGCCUCUGCUGGGACUCGGUCCUGCAGGACCUUCCUGACCCUCACUCUUCCCUCCUUCAGGGCCCCCGUCCACCGCCGCCCGCACGCAGCCCAGCUCUGGCCAUUCAGCAGAUCCUCACCCAAGCUAGCGCGGGAGGGACCCGGGAGGGCACGCCGGCCAGCACAGGCGGCAGCGGCAGGAACUCCGCCGUCGCCCCCCCCCCCCCCCCGGGCGUAGCCCACCGCACGUGGCACGUGGCACACAGCACCCGCACCCGAGGGCAACUGGGAGGGGUGGCCUCCGGCGUUUCUCGCCUGGGAGGACGACGGCAGACGUCCCCGGCCGGCUCCCCCCACCGAGCCACACCAGGAGAGGAGCCAAGGCGCCACGGCCAGAGCAACGCCACGUCUAGGAGUUCGGGCCGGAGUCGGCCAGGCCGUGCCAGGAGACCUCAGCGUGGGGUUUAAGUGUCAGGCUCCGAGUGGCAGCGCCCGAAACGCGGCGGCGGGAGAGCCCUGCCGUCCUCAGCCCGGGAGCACCGGGGGCCUCUGGGGGCGCCAGCAACGGUGAGAGCCCAGAGGGCGGGGGGCCGGAGGCGCCUGGGGGGAAGGAUGGCGCUGGCGCCAAGGGCGAUGACCCGGUCGCCGUGCCACGGGACACACGAAGCGCCGCGCAGGCCAGGCCGGGCUGCUGCAGCGCGCGGCCGCGCUUCCACAAAGAGUCGCGAGAGAAGAGAGACCGCGCCAUUUACCUUGCCCGCGGCCUGCUGCUGCGCCGCUGCAGCCGCCUGCUCCGGGGGGCGGGAGCCGCUGUCCUUCCGGGGAGCCGCAGAGCCGGGUGCCGCAUCUGACAAAGGCCAGACAGCAGGGAUGGAGGCUUAUUCCUCAGGGACCCUCGGCGCCAUCCUCCAGAAGGCGCCUGACGCCCUGGCCCACCCUCAGGGACCUGGCUGGCGGCAGGCGGCUCCCCAGGCGCCUCGGCUCGCCCCUGAGGAGGCCGGGGAGACCUGCCCCCGCCCCCACGACCCUGGCUUGAGGAAAACCCCACAGGGCCCUGGUUCAGGGGUUUUCAUAACUCAUCCAUCAGCCACUUGUGGACAGGUUCAGGCUCAACUAGCUGGAAAUCAGCAAUGAAAGAGGGUUUCCCAAUACACGUCAGGAGACCUCAGGAUUUCCUCACGG
ensembl:lncRNA